UUAAGCGACUAAGCGUACACGGUGGAUGCCCUGGCAGUCAGAGGCGAUGAAGGACGUGCUAAUCUGCGAUAAGCGUCGGUAAGGUGAUAUGAACCGUUAUAACCGGCGAUUUCCGAAUGGGGAAACCCAGUGUGUUUCGACACACUAUCAUUAACUGAAUCCAUAGGUUAAUGAGGCGAACCGGGGGAACUGAAACAUCUAAGUACCCCGAGGAAAAGAAAUCAACCGAGAUUCCCCCAGUAGCGGCGAGCGAACGGGGAGCAGCCCAGAGCCUGAAUCAGUAUGUGUGUUAGUGGAAGCGUCUGGAAAGGCGCGCGAUACAGGGUGACAGCCCCGUACACAAAAAUGCACAUGCUGUGAGCUCGAUGAGUAGGGCGGGACACGUGGUAUCCUGUCUGAAUAUGGGGGGACCAUCCUCCAAGGCUAAAUACUCCUGACUGACCGAUAGUGAACCAGUACCGUGAGGGAAAGGCGAAAAGAACCCCGGCGAGGGGAGUGAAAAAGAACCUGAAACCGUGUACGUACAAGCAGUGGGAGCACGCUUAGGCGUGUGACUGCGUACCUUUUGUAUAAUGGGUCAGCGACUUAUAUUCUGUAGCAAGGUUAACCGAAUAGGGGAGCCGAAGGGAAACCGAGUCUUAACUGGGCGUUAAGUUGCAGGGUAUAGACCCGAAACCCGGUGAUCUAGCCAUGGGCAGGUUGAAGGUUGGGUAACACUAACUGGAGGACCGAACCGACUAAUGUUGAAAAAUUAGCGGAUGACUUGUGGCUGGGGGUGAAAGGCCAAUCAAACCGGGAGAUAGCUGGUUCUCCCCGAAAGCUAUUUAGGUAGCGCCUCGUGAAUUCAUCUCCGGGGGUAGAGCACUGUUUCGGCAAGGGGGUCAUCCCGACUUACCAACCCGAUGCAAACUGCGAAUACCGGAGAAUGUUAUCACGGGAGACACACGGCGGGUGCUAACGUCCGUCGUGAAGAGGGAAACAACCCAGACCGCCAGCUAAGGUCCCAAAGUCAUGGUUAAGUGGGAAACGAUGUGGGAAGGCCCAGACAGCCAGGAUGUUGGCUUAGAAGCAGCCAUCAUUUAAAGAAAGCGUAAUAGCUCACUGGUCGAGUCGGCCUGCGCGGAAGAUGUAACGGGGCUAAACCAUGCACCGAAGCUGCGGCAGCGACGCUGAUGCGUUGUUGGGUAGGGGAGCGUUCUGUAAGCCUGUGAAGGUGUGCUGUGAGGCAUGCUGGAGGUAUCAGAAGUGCGAAUGCUGACAUAAGUAACGAUAAAGCGGGUGAAAAGCCCGCUCGCCGGAAGACCAAGGGUUCCUGUCCAACGUUAAUCGGGGCAGGGUGAGUCGACCCCUAAGGCGAGGCCGAAAGGCGUAGUCGAUGGGAAACAGGUUAAUAUUCCUGUACUUGGUGUUACUGCGAAGGGGGGACGGAGAAGGCUAUGUUGGCCGGGCGACGGUUGUCCCGGUUUAAGCGUGUAGGCUGGUUUUCCAGGCAAAUCCGGAAAAUCAAGGCUGAGGCGUGAUGACGAGGCACUACGGUGCUGAAGCAACAAAUGCCCUGCUUCCAGGAAAAGCCUCUAAGCAUCAGGUAACAUCAAAUCGUACCCCAAACCGACACAGGUGGUCAGGUAGAGAAUACCAAGGCGCUUGAGAGAACUCGGGUGAAGGAACUAGGCAAAAUGGUGCCGUAACUUCGGGAGAAGGCACGCUGAUAUGUAGGUGAAGUCCCUCGCGGAUGGAGCUGAAAUCAGUCGAAGAUACCAGCUGGCUGCAACUGUUUAUUAAAAACACAGCACUGUGCAAACACGAAAGUGGACGUAUACGGUGUGACGCCUGCCCGGUGCCGGAAGGUUAAUUGAUGGGGUUAGCGCAAGCGAAGCUCUUGAUCGAAGCCCCGGUAAACGGCGGCCGUAACUAUAACGGUCCUAAGGUAGCGAAAUUCCUUGUCGGGUAAGUUCCGACCUGCACGAAUGGCGUAAUGAUGGCCAGGCUGUCUCCACCCGAGACUCAGUGAAAUUGAACUCGCUGUGAAGAUGCAGUGUACCCGCGGCAAGACGGAAAGACCCCGUGAACCUUUACUAUAGCUUGACACUGAACAUUGAGCCUUGAUGUGUAGGAUAGGUGGGAGGCUUUGAAGUGUGGACGCCAGUCUGCAUGGAGCCGACCUUGAAAUACCACCCUUUAAUGUUUGAUGUUCUAACGUGGACCCGUAAUCCGGGUUGCGGACAGUGUCUGGUGGGUAGUUUGACUGGGGCGGUCUCCUCCUAAAGAGUAACGGAGGAGCACGAAGGUUGGCUAAUCCUGGUCGGACAUCAGGAGGUUAGUGCAAUGGCAUAAGCCAGCUUGACUGCGAGCGUGACGGCGCGAGCAGGUGCGAAAGCAGGUCAUAGUGAUCCGGUGGUUCUGAAUGGAAGGGCCAUCGCUCAACGGAUAAAAGGUACUCCGGGGAUAACAGGCUGAUACCGCCCAAGAGUUCAUAUCGACGGCGGUGUUUGGCACCUCGAUGUCGGCUCAUCACAUCCUGGGGCUGAAGUAGGUCCCAAGGGUAUGGCUGUUCGCCAUUUAAAGUGGUACGCGAGCUGGGUUUAGAACGUCGUGAGACAGUUCGGUCCCUAUCUGCCGUGGGCGCUGGAGAACUGAGGGGGGCUGCUCCUAGUACGAGAGGACCGGAGUGGACGCAUCACUGGUGUUCGGGUUGUCAUGCCAAUGGCACUGCCCGGUAGCUAAAUGCGGAAGAGAUAAGUGCUGAAAGCAUCUAAGCACGAAACUUGCCCCGAGAUGAGUUCUCCCUGACUCCUUGAGAGUCCUGAAGGAACGUUGAAGACGACGACGUUGAUAGGCCGGGUGUGUAAGCGCAGCGAUGCGUUGAGCUAACCGGUACUAAUGAACCGUGAGGCUUAACCUU
rnacentral:rRNA from 1 species